GCUCACCCCAUUAGUUUAUUUUCCUUAACAGGAGUUCGGAAUGAAAAGAUUUUUGGAGAAGCCAACUUGAUUACCUUUUAUUUGAAUUUUGGAUGUAAUUGAUUUAGUCGACUUUGAAUGGUUGUAUUUUUGAGAAAAGCUGAUGUACUUUUGGAAACUUGUGAUGUAAGACUUGAAUGUUUAUAUAAGGAAGCAACCUUUCUUUA
rnacentral:lncRNA from 1 species